rnacentral:rRNA from 1 species
AGUGUGCUGGAGGUAUCAGAAGUGCGAAUGCUGACAUGAGUAACGAUAAUGUGGGUGAAAAGCCCACACGCCGGAAGUCCCAGGUUUCCUGCACGACGUUAAUCGGAGCAGGGUGAGUCGGCCCCUAAGGCGAGGCUGAAGAGCGUAGUCGAUGGGAACCAGGUUAAUAUUCCUGGACUUUUUAUAAGUGGUGAAGUGGGGACGAAGAAGGCUAGGUGAGCCAGGCGUUGGUUGUCCUGGUACUUGCAUGUAGGGGGGAAGACUUGGCAAAUCCGGUUUUCCAUAACUCUGAGGUGCGAAGUGGUUCUGACCUUUUGGUACAGAGAAGUCAUUGAUGCCCGGCUUCCAGGAAAAGCUGCUAGCCAUAACUUAUAGAGAACCGUACCGCAAACCGACACAGGUGGACAGGUAGAGAAUACUAAGGCGCUUGAGAGAACUCGGGUGAAGGAACUAGGCAAAAUGGUACCGUAACUUCGGGAGAAGGUACGCCCUUUCUGGUGAUGGGAUUUACUUUCAGAGCUGGAGAGGGCCGCAGAGACCAGGUGGCUGCGACUGUUUAUUAAAAACACAGCACUCUGCAAAUUCGUAAGAAGACGUAUAGGGUGUGACGCCUGCCCGGUGCCGGAAGGUUAAUUGAUGGGGUUAUCUUCGGAGAAGCUCUUGAUCGAAGCCCCGGUAAACGGCGGCCGUAACUAUAACGGUCCUAAGGUAGCGAAAUUCCUUGUCGGGUAAGUUCCGACCUGCACGAAUGGCGUAACGAUGGCCACACUGUCUCCACCCGAGACUCAGUGAAAUUGAAAUCGCUGUGAAGAUGCAGUGUACCCGCGGCUAGACGGAAAGACCCCGUGAACCUUUACUAUAGUUUUGCACUGGACUUUGAUGAUGACUGUGUAGGAUAGGUGGGAGGCUGUGAAGUGAGGACGCUAGUUCUCAUGGAGCCGCCCUUGAAAUACCACCCUGUUGUUAUUGAGGUUCUAACUUGGUCCAGUAAUCCUGGAUGAGGACAGUGUAUGAUGGGUAGUUUGACUGGGGCGGUCUCCUCCCAAAGAGUAACGGAGGAGCACAAAGGUACCCUCGGUACGGUCGGACAUCGUACCAAGAGUGUAAAGGCAAAAGGGUGCUUGACUGCGAGAGUGACGGCUCGAGCAGGAACGAAAGUUGGUCUUAGUGAUCCGGUGGUUCUGAAUGGAAGGGCCAUCGCUCAACGGAUAAAAGGUACUCCGGGGAUAACAGGCUGAUACCGCCCAAGAGUUCAUAUCGACGGCGGUGUUUGGCACCUCGAUGUCGGCUCAUCACAUCCUGGGGCUGAAGCAGGUCCCAAGGGUAUGGCUGUUCGCCAUUUAAAGUGGUACGCGAGCUGGGUUUAGAACGUCGUGAGACAGUUCGGUCCCUAUCUGCCGUGGGCGUAGGAAAAUUGAGAGGAGCUGCUCCUAGUACGAGAGGACCGGAGUGGACGAACCUCUGGUGCACCGGUUGUCACGCCAGUGGCAUGGCCGGGUAGCUAAGUUCGGACGGGAUAACCGCUGAAAGCAUCUAAGCGGGAAGCCUCCCUCAAGAUGAGUUUUCCCAUGAAGCCCGUUGAAGACUACGACGUUGAUAGGCAAGGUGUGGAAGCGCAGUAAUGCGUGAAGCUAACUUGUACUAAUUGGCUGAUUGUCUUGACCAUAUAAUCUGAG